GGCCUUCAGUCCUCAGCUGUGGCCGGAUGACACAGGGAUCCUGGGCAUUAAGAACCGGAUACAAGAUUGGACAUGGAGAUGCACACCUUUCAUCCCAGCAUUUGAGAAGCGGAGGUGAGUUGAUCUCUGUAAUUUCAAAGCUAGCCAGAGCUACACAAUAAAAUCCUGUCCCAGGUUGGGUGGAGGGGGGAGGGGGGCUGGUCACGGCAUCCAGCAUGACCGGGGUGGAGAGAUGAGGCAUGUCAGCCAUGAUGAAAAGAGCCCAGAUGGUGGUGAACACAGAUGGGGUCCCUUCUUGAGCAGUGUGGUUCUCGGGCUUGACACUUGUCCCAGUGAUGGAUCGGUGAGGUGUAAGGCCAGGUUACUCUGGGCUUCACAGCAGAGGCCAACUAACCCUUGGUGUCCACACAUCUCUCGGAGUACUCUGCUGUCUGUGAGCACCAAGGUCCUACACACAGACACCUAACUCAGCUUCCACUCCUGACCCAGUUUCUUUAACUAGAACUGGAUAACAUACUUUUCCUGAGGGAUUUGUUUAACACUAGAGUGAGAAGAACAUGGGCAGUAUACGGGGCCGGGAGUAUCAGCUCUGACGCCUGCCUGCCUGUCACCAUCCGAUAAGCACACCUCCUUUAUCUCCCCAAGUCAUGAGAUCAGGGCAAAGGACAUGCUUCCCUGUGUAGACAGCACACCCAGC
rnacentral:lncRNA from 1 species